CAUUCGAGGUGGCGGACGGGUGAGUAACGCGUGGGUAACCUGCCUUACACAGGGGGAUAACACCUGGAAACAGGUGCUAAUACCGCAUAAGCGCACAGGGCCGCAUGGCCCGGUGUGAAAAACUCCGGUGGUGUAAGAUGGACCCGCGUCUGAUUAGCUUGUUGGCGGGGUAGGGGCCCACCAAGGCGACGAUCAGUAGCCGGCCUGAGAGGGUGGACGGCCACAUUGGGACUGAGACACGGCCCAAACUCCUACGGAAGGCAGCAG
rnacentral:rRNA from 1 species